rnacentral:rRNA from 1 species
GUCUACAGCCAUGCCUCCCUGAACGUGCCCGAUCUCGUCUGAUCUCGGAAGCUAAGCAGGAUUGGGCCUGGUUAGUACUUGGAUGGGAGACCACCUAGGAAGACCAGGUGCUAUAGGUG